rnacentral:rRNA from 1 species
GAUACCCCUGUAGUCCUGGCCGUAAACGAUGAACACUAGGUGUCGGGGGAAUCGACCCCCUCGGUGUCGUAGCCAACGCGUUAAGUGUUCCGCCUGGGGAGUACGCACGCAAGUGUGAAACUCAAAGGAAUUGACGGGGGCCCGCACAAGCGGUGGAGUAUGUGGUUUAAUUCGAUGCAACGCGAAGAACCUUACCAGGGUUUGACAUCCUGCGAAUCCCUUGGAAACUUGGGAGUGCCUUCGGGAGCGCAGUGACAGGUGGUGCAUGGCUGUCGUCAGCUCGUGUCGUGAGAUGUUGGGUUAAGUCCCGCAACGAGCGCAACCCACGUCUUUAGUUGCCAGCAUUGAGUUGGGCACUCUAGAGAGACUGCCGGUGAUAAACCGGAGGAAGGUGUGGAUGACGUCAAGUCAUCAUGCCCCUUACAUCCUGGGCUACACACGUACUACGAUGCUACGGACAAAGGGCAGCAAACUCGCGAGAGCUAGCAAAUCCCAUAAACCGUGGCUCAGUUCAGAUCGUAGGCUGCAACUCGCCUACGUGAAGGAGGAAUCGCUAGUAAUCGCAGGUCAGCAUACUGCGGUGAAUACGUUCCCGGGCCUUGUACACACCGCCCGUCACACCAUGGAAGUUGGCCAUGCCCGAAGUCGUUACUCCAACCCUUGUGGAGGAGGAUGCCGAAGGUGGGGCUGAUGACUGGGGUGAAGUCGUAACAAGGUAGCCGUACCGGAAGGUGC